ACCAAGGAGAGCAUCCCGUGUGUCUCCUCUGCAAAGAGGAACCAAGCACUGCAGAGAAUUAGCACCUGCUGCCCACUCUGAGCUUCUCCACCAGUAUGUUGAUUCAACAAUGUGCCUCUGGAACACGAGAGGUGCAGGUACAACAUGAAAGAGAUGAGUUUCAGAUCAGCUUCCAGCUCAGCUCGAAGGUCGGGCUUGGACAUCUCAUAGCCCAUGGAAUCAUAGCCUGAGGAACAUACCACAUGGUAAAGCGAAAGGAAGGAGGAGUUUUCGGGAAGCCAAUUUCUCAAGUUCCUGCAUUGGGAGGAGCCAGAAAAAGAAUGCAUUUGUGCAUAAUUCAGAGGGAAGGCCUCAGGAACAAAGGCCUGGAUGGCUUUAAAGCGUUCCACCACAAAGCCCAGCGUCGGGAACUGGCAGCUGCCAUAGCUGAUCAGCUGAUCUGCUAAAAUAUCAGGGAAGAUCUUCCGGAGCCUCAGCGUCUGGAAUCUGGUGAAGGCAGCACCUGAGAAAACACAAAAGGACACCAAGACUGAACACAACAACAUUGAAGAAUAAUCACAACACUUCGGGUGAUUCUUUUUAAUACUCUGAUUAUUAAUUUUACUUUAGUUUAAUACUCAGUUGCAGACACCUGUCAGUGCUGCAUGAGCUAUAACCUAACACUUGCUUCAAAAAGCACGUUUCUAGUAAAACACAAGAUGUGAUUUAGUUGUAUCUGAUCAAAAAAUCAGAUUUAUGACACUACAGAGGGCAUUUCUGUCUUGUGUUGAGGAUAUGGUAACGAAUGAUUCCUAAGCACCCCUUGCUGGGCUUCAACAAUGUGCAUUCAAUGUGAUUAGAUGAGAAGCGAGGAAGAGCCCGAUGACCAACCAUCCUCUGGGUACAGCAGUCUGAGGAAGUUUAAGUAUUUAUAAUAAGCUCUACACUGAUAACAAAGCUGUUCCCUGCCUGCCUGCCACACUCUUGCUCACCUGCCUUCAGUAGAGGUGCAGGCAGCAGCUCAGGCCUGGCAGCCCGCUCUCCU